CAAUGGAGAAAAUUUUAUGUAUCCGAUUAAUAAUUCGUUCGAUUACGGCAUAUCAAACACUAAUAGCGGGUUUAAGGUUUAAGAGACUAGUAAAAGAACAUCUCCCAGACAAAGUGCUUGCAAAAUUAUGGAAUUGAAAGUGAAAGCGAUAACUGCAAAGAUAGAAGGAAGAAUUCCACUUGAGAAAUUAACCACAAAAAACGGUGGCCUAUCAGUGGAGAUUGUGGGGGAAAAUUCUACAAAGAAAAAACGACCCUGUACAGGAGCAAAAGGAAAAAGAAAUCGAGAGAGAACACGGCAUUAUUUUCGCGGGUCGUCAACGCAAGUGAUUUCUCAAGAAAUUUGGGAGUAUUAACAUAUAUAGGAAGCAGACCUUUUACGACUGGAACUCAAAGACUCUG